CAGGGCGGAAGUGGAGAGCCACACAAGUUAGUGUGAAAAUAUGAAUAUUUAUCGAAUGUUUGCAAUCCCCCACCCUGCGGUAUUUGACCCUUCAAGCCAGGAUUAAAACUGAAGUUCAAUUGCUGGAAAUAUCGCACUUUCGUCAACGCCAUUGGAAUGCUGCCAUAGAUAUUAUUGUGACUGAUAUCCAACCAAGUUAAGGUUUCCUUGGGAAACGUCAAACGAGACAGAUCAAAGGAGAAGGCGUUCCUGGAAAGGUCAAGUACCCGAGUCUUUUUCUUGCUCCCGAAAAGAAAUGAAGCAUCGCCUACGAAGUUGUUCCUUGACAAGUCUAUCCUGUCUGGGUCUAGGUUGCCCAAGGAACGGGGAAGGGCCCCGGAAAGUUGGUUGUGAGAGAGUUUGAGAUCUGGCCCGGGCUUCUUGAAGGAGCCGAAAGAGGCCGGGAUUGGGCCCGUCAAUUUGUUCCUGUCCAACUGUAGAGACCCGAGAUUAGGCAGCUGGGAAAGUGAGCUGGGAAUGGAGCCCGAGAGGUUGUUAAAGGAAAGGGCGAUAUACUCGAGGGUCUUAAUCUGGCCCAGAAAUUCAGGGAUCGGGCCUGAGAGACCAGUAUUGGUGAUAGAGAGAAAUUUCAGUUUGGUGAGUUUGGUGAUGGUUGUCGGAAUUGGGCCGACGAGGUUGGGGAGCUUGUGAAAGUCAAGGGACUCGAGGUAAGGGAGGUCACCCACAGAGGGUGGUAUUUGGCCAGUGACAUUGGGGUCUGGAAAAGAGGAUACUAGAAAUACAUCGUAGAUACGGUUAUUACUGUCGUCACACUUGACACAGUACCAGUCACAGCAAUCCUCUUUUGGGUUCCAGGAAGCUAAGAAGUAAGGGUUGUUGAGUUCCUUUUUGAAGCGGAGGAGCACCUUCUUGUCCUGUGGGUGGCACCGCUCCGAUAAUGCAACUGGAAAAAGGGACAACACUAGGACGCAUAGUCCCAAUAACAUUAACAGGCUUCGCAUUUUGCUUGUGAAUGUGAAGUCACAAGUUGUGUUCCGGAAGUACAUCGACACGCUUCUCG
rnacentral:sRNA from 1 species